rnacentral:tRNA from 1 species
GGGCUUAUAGGCUAAUUGGUAAACUAUUGCUUUUGCAUAGCAAUGUUCUGAGUUCAAGUCUCAGUAGGUCCAC